rnacentral:rRNA from 1 species
ACGCCGCGUGAGUGAUGAAGGUUUUCGGAUCGUAAAACUCUGUUGUUAGGGAAGAACAAGUACCGUUCGAAUAGGGCGGUACCUUGACGGUACCUAACCAGAAAGCCACGGCUAACUACGUGCCAGCAGCCGCGGUAAUACGUAGGUGGCAAGCGUUGUCCGGAAUUAUUGGGCGUAAAGCGCGCGCAGGCGGUUUCUUAAGUCUGAUGUGAAAGCCCCCGGCUCAACCGGGGAGGGUCAUUGGAAACUGGGGAACUUGAGUGCAGAAGAGGAGAGUGGAAUUCCACGUGUAGCGGUGAAAUGCGUAGAGAUGUGGAGGAACACCAGUGGCGAAGGCGACUCUCUGGUCUGUAACUGACGCUGAGGCGCGAAAGCGUGGGGAGCGAACAGGAUUAGAUACCCUGGUAGUCCACGCCGUAAACGAUGAGUGCUAAGUGUUAGAGGGUUUCCGCCCUUUAGUGCUGCAGCAAACGCAUUAAGCACUCCC